AGAACGAACGCUGGCGGCAGGCUUAACACAUGCAAGUCGAGCGCCCAGCAAUGGGAGCGGCGGACGGGUGAGUAACACGUGGGAACAUGCCCUUUGGUACGGGACAACUCAGGGAAACUUGAGCUAAUACCGUAUGAGCCGGUAACGGGAAAGAUUUAUCGCCAAAGGAAUGGCCCGCGUCCGAUUAGCUAGUUGGUGAGGUAAUGGCUCACCAAGGCACCGAUCGGUAGCUGGUUUGAGAGAACGACCAGCCACACUGGGACUGAGACACGGCCCAGACUCCUACGGGAGGCAGCAGUGGGGAAUCUUGGACAAUGGGGGCAACCCUGAUCCAGCCAUGCCGCGUGAGUGAUGAAGGCCUUCGGGUUGUAAAACUCUUUCGACGGGACGAUAAUGACGGUACCCGUAGAAGAAGCUCCGGCUAACUUCGCGCCAGCAGCCGC
rnacentral:rRNA from 1 species